rnacentral:rRNA from 1 species
UGCAGUCGAACGGCAGCACGGGAGCAAUCCUGGUGGCGAGUGGCGAACGGGUGAGUAAUACAUCGGAACGUGUCCUGUAGUGGGGGAUAGCCCGGCGAAAGCCGGAUUAAUACCGCAUACGCUCUGCGGAGGAAAGCGGGGGAUCCUUCGGGACCUCGCGCUACAGGGGCGGCCGAUGGCAGAUUAGCUAGUUGGUGGGGUAAAGGCCUACCAAGGCGACGAUCUGUAGCUGGUCUGAGAGGACGACCAGCCACACUGGGACUGAGACACGGCCCAGACUCCUACGGGAGGCAGCAGUGGGGAAUUUUGGACAAUGGGCGCAAGCCUGAUCCAGCAAUGCCGCGUGUGUGAAGAAGGCCUUCGGGUUGUAAAGCACUUUUGUCCGGAAAGAAAACCGCCUGGCUAAUAUCCGGGCGGGAUGACGGUACCGGAAGAAUAAGCACCGGCUAACUACGUGCCAGCAGCCGCGGUAAUACGUAGGGUGCAAGCGUUAAUCGGAAUUACUGGGCGUAAAGCGUGCGCAGGCGGUUCGCUAAGACAGAUGUGAAAUCCCCGGGCUUAACCUGGGAACUGCAUUUGUGACUGGCGGGCUAGAGUAUGGCAGAGGGGGGUAGAAUUCCACGUGUAGCAGUGAAAUGCGUAGAGAUGUGGAGGAAUACCGAUGGCGAAGGCAGCCCCCUGGGCCAAUACUGACGCUCAUGCACGAAAGCGUGGGGAGCAAACAGGAUUAGAUACCCUGGUAGUCCACGCCCUAAACGAUGUCAACUGGUUGUCGGGCCUUCAUUGGCUUGGUAACGUAGCUAACGCGUGAAGUUGACCGCCUGGGGAGUACGGUCGCAAGAUUAAAACUCAAAGGAAUUGACGGGGACCCGCACAAGCGGUGGAUGAUGUGGAUUAAUUCGAUGCAACGCGAAAAACCUUACCUACCCUUGACAUGUACGGAAGUCCGCUGAGAGGUGGAUGUGCCCGAAAGG